rnacentral:rRNA from 1 species
AUUGAACGCUGGCGGCAUGGUUAAAGCAUGCAAGUCGAGCGGGUCCGCAAGGACCAGCGGCGGAAGGGUGAGUAAUCCAAUCGUACGUGCCCCGAGGUACGGGAUAGCGGUGGGAAACUGCCGGUAAUACCGUAUGUUCUCUCCGGAGCAAAGCUUUGGCGCCUUGGGAGCGGCGAUUGACCUAUCAGGUAGUUGGCGGGGUAAUGGCCCACCAAGCCGAAGACGGGUAGCGGGUGUGAGAGCACGACCCGCCACAUCGGGACUGAGACACUGCCCGGACUCCUACGGGAGGCUGCAGCGACGAAUCUUCCGCAAUGGGCGCAAGCCUGACGGAGCAAUGCCGCGUGUGGGAUGAAGUGCCUUCGGUAUGUAAACCACUGUCAGGGGAUAGAAACAAUGAUCAUCCCCAAAGGAAGUGGCGACUAACUCUGUG